rnacentral:rRNA from 1 species
GACGAACGCUGGCGGCGUGCUUAACACAUGCAAGUCGAGCGGAAAGGCCCUUCGGGGUACUCGAGUGGCGAACGGGUGAGUAACACGUGAGUAACCUGCCCCAGACUUUGGGAUAACCCUCGGAAACGGGGGCUAAUACCGGAUACGACACAGCUUCGCAUGGGGUCUGUGUGGAAAGUUUUUCGGUUUGGGAUGGGCUCGCGGCCUAUCAGCUUGUUGGUGGGGUGAUGGCCUACCAAGGCGACGACGGGUAGCCGGCCUGAGAGGGCGACCGGCCACACUGGGACUGAGACACGGCCCAGACUCCUACGGGAGGCAGCAGUGGGGAAUAUUGCACAAUGGGCGGAAGCCUGAUGCAGCGACGCCGCGUGAGGGAUGACGGCCUUCGGGUUGUAAACCUCUUUCAGCAGGGACGAAGCGUAAGUGACGGUACCUGCAGAAGAAGCGCCGGCCAACUACGUG